rnacentral:rRNA from 1 species
UACGUAGGGGGCAAGCGUUGUCCGGAUUUAUUGGGCGUAAAGAGCGUGUAGGCGGCUAGAUAGGUCCGUUGUGAAAACUCGAGGCUCAACCUCGAGACGCCGAUGGAAACCAUCCAGCUAGAGUCCGGAAGAGGAGAGUGGAAUUCCCGGUGUAGCGGUGAAAUGCGCAGAUAUCGGGAAGAACACCGAUAGUGAAGACAGUUUACUAGGCUUCUACUGACGCUGAGGCACGAAAGUGUGGGGAUCAAACAGG